GGGCCCGCACAAGCGGUGGAGUAUGUGGUUUAAUUCGAUGCAACGCGAAGAACCUUACCAGGGUUUGACAUCCUGCGAAUCUCUUGGAAACAGGAGAGUGCCUUCGGGAACGCAGUGACAGGUGGUGCAUGGCUGUCGUCAGCUCGUGUCGUGAGAUGUUGGGUUAAGUCCCGCAACGAGCGCAACCCACGUCUUUAGUUGCCAGCAUUUAGUUGGGCACUCUAGCAAGACUGCCAGUGCAAACUGUGAGGAAGGUGGGGAUGACGUCAAAUCAUCACGGCCCUUACGUCCUGGGCUACACACGUGCUACAAUGCUACGGACAAAGGGCAGCAAGUUCGCGAGGACAAGCAAAUCCCAUAAACCGUGGCUCAGUUCAGAUCGUAGGCUGCAACUCGCCUACGUGAAGGCGGAAUCGCUAGUAAUCG
rnacentral:rRNA from 1 species